GCGCACCACUCCCACGGUGCGCCAUUAGUAAAAAACAAAUUUUUAAUUUUUUUUCAAAACUACUAAUGGCGCACCGUGGGGGUGGUGCGC
rnacentral:pre_miRNA from 1 species